rnacentral:lncRNA from 1 species
AUGACUGCGACAUCAACAUCAACUUUUCACUCAGUCAAAGAAGAAACUGCUCAGUUCAAGCUCUCUACUGUUUCGAUUUCGAUUUCCACCGUCCAAGAACAUUCAAAGACACGCUCCUUCAAUCAAUUUUGUUUUAGUCCAUUCAGAAAAUUCGAAGAAGAAGCAACUUUCGAUCUCGAGAGCCUCUCUUUUUUAGGAACUUCCAGGGAUUUCUAUUCGAUAUUCAUCUGA